rnacentral:rRNA from 1 species
UACGUAGGGUGCGAGCGUUAAUCGGAAUUACUGGGCGUAAAGCGUGCGCAGGCGGUUUUGUAAGCCAGAUGUGAAAUCCCCGGGCUUAACCUGGGAAUGGCAUUUGGGACUGCAAGGCUGGAGUUUGGCAGAGGAGACUGGAAUUCCGGGUGUAGCGGUGAAAUGCGUAGAUAUCCGGAGGAACACCGGUGGCGAAGGCGGCUUCCUGGACCGACACUGACGCUGAGGCGCGAAAGCGUGGGGAGCGAACAGG